GGCCCUAUGGUCAAGCGGUUAAGACAUCGCCCUUUCACGGCGGUAUCCCGGGUUCAAAUCCCGGUAGGGUCACCA
rnacentral:tRNA from 15 species